rnacentral:rRNA from 1 species
CCAACAGGGAUUGCCUCAGUAACGGCGAGUGAAGCGGCAACAGCUCAAAUUUGAAAGCUGGCCCUUUCAGGGUCCGCGUUGUAAUUUGUAGAGGAUGCUUCGGGCGCGGCGCUGGUCUAAGUUCUUUGGAACAAGACGUCAUAGAGGGUGAGAAUCCCGUAUGUGACUAGCUGCCUGUGCCUGUGUGAAGCUCCUUCGACGAGUCGAGUUGUUUGGGAAUGCAGCUCAAAAUGGGUGGUGUACUUCAUCUAAAGCUAAAUAUUGGCCAGAGACCGAUAGCGCACAAGUAGAGUGAUCGAAAGAUGAAAAGCACUUUGGAAAGAGAGUUAAACAGUACGUGAAAUUGUUGAAAGGGAAGCGCUUGCAAUCAGACUUGCGCGGCGUCGAUCAGCCUGGGUUCUCCCUGGUGCACUCGGCGCUGCUCAGGCCAGCAUCAGUUUCAGCGGUUGGAUAAAGGCCUAGGGAACGUGGGUUACUUCGGUGACUGUUAUAGCCCUAGGUGCAAUGCAGCCUGUUGGGACUGAGGACCGCGCUUCGGCUAGGAUGCUGGCGUAAUGGUUGUAAGCGACCCGUCUUGAAACACGGACCAAGGAGUCUAACAUCUAUGCGAGUUUUUGGGUGUCAAACCCAUAAGCGUAAUGAAAGUGAACGGAGGUGAGAACCCUUAAGGGUGCAUCAUCGACCGAUCCUGAUGUCUUCGGAUGGAUUUGAGUAAGAGCAUAGCUGUUGGGACCCGAAAGAUGGUGAUCUAUACUUGAAUAGGGUGAAGCCAGAGGAAACUCUGGUGGAGGCUCGCAGCGGUUCUGACGUGCAAAUCGAUCGUCAAAUUUGGGUAUAGGGGCGAAAGACUAAUCGAA